UGGUAUUGAUUGGUGCUUGCAUCAUGAUUUACAUUUGAGUGAGUGGCGAACUGGUGAGUAACACGUGGGAAACCUGCCCAGAAGCGGGGGAUAACACCUGGAAACAGAUGCUAAUACCGCAUAACAACUUGGACCGCAUGGUCCGAGUUUGAAAGAUGGCUUCGGCUAUCACUUUUGGAUGGUCCCGCGGCGUAUUAGCUAGAUGGUGGGGUAACGGCUCACCAUGGCAAUGAUACGUAGCCGACCUGAGAGGGUAAUCGGCCACAUUGGGACUGAGACACGGCCCAAACUCCUACGGGAGGCAGCAGUAGGGAAUCUUCCACAAUGGACGAAAGUCUGAUGGAGCAACGCCGCGUGAGUGAAGAAGGGUUUCGGCUCGUAAAACUCUGUUGUUAAAGAAGAACAUAUCUGAGAGUAACUGUUCAGGUAUUGACGGUAUUUAACCAGAAAGCCACGGCUAACUACGUGCCAGCAGCCGCGGUAAUACGUAGGUGGCAAGCGUUGUCCGGAUUUAUUGGGCGUAAAGCGAGCGCAGGCGGUUUUUUAAGUCUGAUGUGAAAGCCUUCGGCUCAACCGAAGAAGUGCAUCGGAAACUGGGAAACUUGAGUGCAGAAGAGGACAGUGGAACUCCAUGUGUAGCGGUGAAAUGCGUAGAUAUAUGGAAGAACACCAGUGGCGAAGGCGGCUGUCUGGUCUGUAACUGACGCUGAGGCUCGAAAGUAUGGGUAGCAAACAGGAUUAGAUACCCUGGUAGUCCAUACCGUAAACGAUGAAUGCUAAGUGUUGGAGGGUUUCCGCCCUUCAGUGCUGCAGCUAACGCAUUAAGCAUUCCGCCUGGGGAGUACGGCCGCAAGGCUGAAACUCAAAGGAAUUGACGGGGGCCCGCACAAGCGGUGGAGCAUGUGGUUUAAUUCGAAGCUACGCGAAGAACCUUACCAGGUCUUGACAUACUAUGCAAAUCUAAGAGAUUAGACGUUCCCUUCGGGGACAUGGAUACAGGUGGUGCAUGG
rnacentral:rRNA from 1 species